rnacentral:rRNA from 1 species
AUUGAACGCUGGCGGCAGGCCUAACACAUGCAAGUCGAGCGGAAGAAGGGAGCUUGCUCCUGGAUUCAGCGGCGGACGGGGGAGUAAUGCCUAGGAAUCUGCCUGGCAGUGGGGGAUAACGUCCGGAAACGGGCGCUGAUACUGCAUACGACGUGAUGGAGCAAGUGGGGGGGGGUCGGACCGCACGGGCGGAGGGGGGCCGAGGCGGGAUUAGCUAGUUGGUGGGGUAAGGGCCUACCUAGGCGAGGAUCCGUUGCUGGUCUGAGAGGAUGAGAAGUCGCACUGGAACUGGGCCACGGUCCAGGCUCCUACGGGAGGGACCAGUGGGGAAUGUUAGACAGUGGGCGAGAGCCUGAUCCAGCCGGGCCGCGUGUGUGAAGACGGUCUUCGGAUUGUGAAGCACUUUAAGUUGGGAGGAAGCGCAGUAAGUUAUUACCUUGCUGUUUUGACGUUACCAACAGAAUAAGCACCGGCUAACCUCGUG